CUGUGGUUAAGUUAAUAAGGGCACACGGUGGAUGCCUUGGCGUUAGGAGCCGAAGAAGGACGCAGCGAACUGCGAUAAGCCUCGGGGAGUGGUAAGCACACUUUGAUCCGGGGAUUUCCGAAUGGGGGAACCCACCAUCUGUAAUGGGAUGGUAUCCUUCACUGAAUACAUAGGUGAUGAGAGGGCAGACCCGGUG
rnacentral:rRNA from 1 species